rnacentral:rRNA from 1 species
AUUGAACGCUGGCGGCAGGCCUAACACAUGCAAGUCGAACGAGUGGCGGACGGGUGAGUAAUGUCUGGGAAACUGCCUGCUGGAGGGGGAUAACUACUGGAAACGGUAGCUAAUACCGCAUACCAUCGGAUGUGCCCAGAUGGGAUUAGCUAGUAGGUGGGGUAAAGGCUCACCUAGGCGACGAUCCCUAGCUGGUCUGAGAGGAUGACCAGCAACACGGGAACUGGGACACUGUCCAGACGCCUACGGGAGGCAGCAGUGGGGAAUAUUGAACAAUGGGCGAAAGCCAGAUGCAGCCAUGCCGCGUGGAUGAAGAAGGCCGUCGGGUUGUAAAGUACUUUCAGCGGGGAGGCGUUACCUGCAGAAGAAGCACCGGCUACCUCCGUGCCAGCAGCCGCGGUAAUUC